AUUGAACGCUGGCGGCAGGCCUAACACAUGCAAGUCGAGCGAGCGGCGGACGGGUGAGUAAUGGAUGGGGACUGCCCGAAAGAGGGGGAUAACUACUGGAAACGGUGGCUAAUACCGCAUACUAUCGGAUAACCCAUAUGGGUUUAGCUAGUAGGGGGGGUAAAGGCUCACCUAGGCGACGAUCCCUAGCUGGUCGGAGAGGAUGAUCUGCCAUACUGGGACUGAGACACGGCCCGGACUCCCAGGGAGGCAGCAGUGGGGAAUAUUGCACAAUGGGCGCAAGCCUGAUGCAGCCAUGCCGCGUGUAUGAAGAAGGCCUUAGGGUUGUAAAGUACUUUCAGCGGGGAGGCGUUACCCGCAGAAGAAGCACCGGCUAACUCCGUGCCAGCAGCCGCGGUAAUUC
rnacentral:rRNA from 1 species